rnacentral:miRNA from 1 species
UAAGUGCUCUCCGUUGGGGUGA